UCUUGACAUCCAGAGAACUUUCCAGAGAUGGAUUGGUGCCUUCGGGAACUCUGAGACAGGUGCUGCAUGGCUGUCGUCAGCUCGUGUUGUGAAAUGUUGGGUUAAGUCCGCAACGAGCGCAACCCCUAUCCUUUGUUGCCAGCGAUUCGGUCGGGAACUCAAAGGAGACUGCCGGUGAUAAACCGGAGGAAGGUGGGGAUGACGUCAAGUCAUCAUGGCCCUUACGAGUAGGGCUACACACGUGCUACAAUGGCGUAUACAAAGAGAAGCGACCUCGCGAGAGCAAGCGGACCUCAUAAAGUACGUCGUAGUCCGGAUUGGAGUCUGCAACUCGACUCCAUGAAGUCGGAAUCGCUAGUAAUCGUAGAUCAGAAUGCUACGGUCGAAUACGUUCCCGGGCCUUGUACACACCGCCCGUCACACCAUGGGAGUGGGUUGCAAAAGAAGUAGAUAGCUUAACCUUCGGGAGGGCGUUUACCACUUUGUGAUUCAUGACUGGGGUGAAGUCGUAACAAGGUAGGCGUAGCGAG
rnacentral:rRNA from 1 species